UACAGGGGGUGCAAACGUUGCUCGGAAUCAUCGGGCGUAAAGCGCACGUAGGCGGUUCGUUAUGUCGGAUGUGAAAGCCCUUGGCUUAACCGAGGAAGUGCAUCCGAAACUGGCGAGCUAGAGUACUAAAGAGGAUCGCGGAAUUCCCGGUGUAGAGGUGAAAUUCGUAGAUAUCGGGAGGAACACCGGUGGCGAAGGCGGCGAUCUGGGUAGAUACUGACGCUGAGGUGCGAAAGCGUGGGGAGCAAACAGG
rnacentral:rRNA from 1 species